rnacentral:lncRNA from 1 species
AUGCUCUUCAGGUCUACUUUGCUGAGCUAUUGUGAUAGUUUGAUUUUUAUGAUUUGCAUCAAGUGUGAAGCUUUCAAAGCCAUGUGUCAAAGUCUCCAGGGCCAUCGAUAUGACAGCAUCUACACUGACGGUGUCCCUGUCCCAAAGUCCCAUCAGGACCGUGCUCCCCGGUGAGAGACCGGCCCCCGCGUCCCCGCUGUAACUUCACAGACACCCCAGGCUUGCAAAUACACCUCGCCUCUCUCACGAGUUAUCCCU